AUCGAUUUGCCAAUCGAUUAUCGCGAGUCUUGUUUUUCUUGAAUCUUGAAACUACAUAAACCAAUCGAUUUGCCAAUCGAUUCUUUUAAAAACUCUUUUCAGUAAAUUAUGUUCAGACUUAUAUGAAUCGAUUGCAUAAUCGAUGUCAGGUGUUUUGUUCCAAUAAAAAUCACACCAAUCGAUUACUUAAUCGAUUUACUAAGUCUCAUAAUCGAUUUACAAAUA
rnacentral:lncRNA from 1 species